GCAUAUACACUUAGUCUUGUAAUUUCAGGCAAGUAAGUCUCAACACCAUUUUGUAUCUGUUUUUGUAUAAUCAGGAUAACACAGAUGUCCUGGCCUAUUGUAAAAGAAAAUUAUUGAAAAGGGAAAAUACUGAUUGCAGA